rnacentral:lncRNA from 1 species
CAUAUACAGAGUUGGAAAUGUACACAGGGUUGCAAAAGAAGUUGUAUGUCAUUCAUAUGUCAUUGUAAAUCUUUGAAGUCAGUACAUAGUCAAAAGAAGAAAUCAUUACAAGCAUUCAUUUCUAAUACAAAAGGUCUUUCAAAAUAGCCUAGGAUUUAUAAAAAGAAGAUCCUACAAGAUAUCCAUCAUCGGCGACGUUGCUCAUGGGCUCUACCAGCUGUAUUUUGUUCAUAAACCUUACAAGCUGCAUCUAUGAAUGCGUUGAUAGAAUCCAUGAGGGUCUUGAAUUGAUCUCCCUGUGACUUGUGGAAACCUGCCACAAGUGCUUCAAAUUCUAUGGUUGCCAUUUCAAUUCUUCCUCU